UCCUCUGAAGCAGUGGUAGAGCGCGACACUAGUAAUGUCGAGGCCGUCGGUUCGACUCCGACUGGAGGCA
rnacentral:tRNA from 1 species